GGGCGAGUGGCGAAAUGGCAGACGCGCUGGCUUCAGGUGCCAGUGUUCGAAAGGACGUGGGGGUUCAAGUCCCCCCUCGCCCAC
rnacentral:tRNA from 1 species